UGGGGGAUAUUGCACAAUGGGCGAAAGCCUGAUGCAGCGACGCCGCGUGGGGGAUGAAGGCCUUCGGGUUGUAAACUUCUUUUGCUCUGAACAAGGCGCACCAUGGGGUGUGUUGAGUGUAGGGGUUGAUUAGCGCCGGCUAACUACGUGCCAGCAGCCGCGGUAAUACGUAGGGCGCGAGCGUUGUCCGGAAUUAUUGGGCGUAAAGGGCUUGUAGGUGGCUGGUUGCGUCUGUCGUGAAAGCUCAUGGCUUAACUGUGGGUUUGCGGUGGGUACGGGCUGGCUUGAGUGCAGUAGGGGAGGGUGGAAUUCCUGGUGUAGCGGUGGAAUGCGCAGAUAUCAGGAGGAAUACCGGUGGCGAAGGCGGGUCUCUGGGCUGUUACUGACACUGAGGAGCGAAAGCAUGGGGAGCGAGCAGG
rnacentral:rRNA from 1 species